AAAGUUAGAGGUUCGAAGGCGAUCAGAUACCGCCCUAGUUCUAACCAUAAACGAUGCCAGCCGGCGAUCCGGCUGCGUUCCUCAAAUGACGCGCCGGGCAGCCUCCGGGAAACCAAAGCCUUUGGGUUCCGGGGGGAGUAUGGUUGCAAAGCUGAAACUUAAAGGAAUAGACGGAAGGGCACUACCAGGAAUGGAGCCUGCGGCUUAAUUUGACUCAACACGGGGAACCUUACCCGGCCCGGACACAGGAAGGAUUGACAGAUUAAGAGCUCUUUCUUGAUUCUGUGGGUGGUGGUGCAUGGCCGCUCUUAGUUCGUGGAGCGAUUUGUCUGGUUAAUUCCGUUAACGAACGAGACCCUAGCCUGCUAAAUAGGCGGUUCCGAUCCUCACCGUCGGACGCCUCUUCUUAGAGGGACAAACGGCGUCCAGCCGCACGAGACGGGGCAAUAGCAGGUCUGUGAUGCCCUUAGAUGUCCGGGGCCGCACGCGCGCUACAUUGAAGGAGGCAGCGUGUGCUUUCCCUCUCCGACAGGAGCGGGUAACCCGCUGAGACUCCUUCGUGCUGGGGAUAGAGGUCUGAAACUGUUCCUCUUGAACGAGGAAUUCCCAGUAAGCGCGAGUCAUCAGCUCGUGCUGACUACGUCCCUGGCCUUUGUACUCACCGCCCGUCGCUAUUACCGAUAGAAUGAUUUAGUGAGGUCUUCGGACCGGCGCUCGGAUCGGCCCUCGCGGUCACGAGCCGCGGUGCCGGAAAGAUGACCGAACUUGAUCAUU
rnacentral:rRNA from 1 species